rfam:Lachnospiraceae bacterium 28-4 genomic scaffold acPFn-supercont1.2, whole genome shotgun sequence.
UUGCUUCCGAUCGGCCAUUUCACUUAUGAAAUGGUCGAAUACCCAGGAGGAAAUUGCCACGGAUGGCAAUUUCAGGAAACACAGGGCAGGAUGCCCGUUGUUUCCGCCCCGAUCGGUUUGACAAUAUAUCCCCAUUUCAUUAGUGAAAUCCGAUUGGAAGCUC